rnacentral:snRNA from 1 species
AUCGCUUCUCAGCCUUUUGGCUAAGAUCAAGUGUAGUUUCUGUUCUUACCAAUUUAAUAUCUAAUACGUCCUCUAUCUGAGGACGAUAUAUUAAAUAGAACAGGGAGACAGAGUAGGAGCUUGCUCCGUCCAUUCCAUGCUUCAACCUGGUAUUGCAGUACCUUCAGGAAUGGUGCACAAAAA